CCUACGGGGGGCAGCAGUGGGGAAUAUUGCGCAAUGGGCGAAAGCCUGACGCAGCGACGCCGCGUGAGGGAUGAAGGUUUUCGGAUCGUAAACCUCUGUCAGAAGGGAAGAAGUAGCAUGGGGCCAAUCACCUGUGCAUUGACGGUAACUUAAAAGGAAGCACCGGCUAACUCCGUGCCAGCAGCCGCGGUAAUACGGAGGGUGCGAGCGUUAAUCGGAAUGACUGGGCGUAAAGCGCACUGAGGCGGUAAGUCAAGUCAAGGGUGAAAUCCCACGGCUCAACCGGUGAACUGCCUUUGAAACUGGCAAACUGGAGUAUGGGAGAGGGCAGCGGAAUUCCUGGUGUAGGAGUGAAAUCCGUAGAUAUCAGGAGGAACAUCAGUGGCGAAGGCGGCCGCCUGGCACAAAACUGACGCUGAGGUGCGAAAGCGUGGGUAGCAAACAGGAUUAGAUACCCGAGUAGUC
rnacentral:rRNA from 1 species